rnacentral:rRNA from 1 species
AUUGAACGCUGGCGGAAUGCUUUACACAUGCAAGUCGAACGGUAGAGGGGGCAACCACUCGAGAGUGGCGAACGGGUGAGUAAUAUAUCGGAACGUGCCCAGUCGUGGGGGAUAACGUAGCGAAAGUUACGCUAAUACCGCAUACGAUCUAAGGAUGAAAGCGGGGGAUCGCAAGACCUCGCGUGAUUGGAGCGGCCGAUAUCAGAUUAGGUAGUUGGUGGGGUAAAGGCUCACCAAGCCAACGAUCUGUAGCUGGUCUGAGAGGACGACCAGCCACACUGGAACUGAGACACGGUCCAGACUCCUACGGGAGGCAGCAGUGGGGAAUUUUGGACAAUGGACGCAAGUCUGAUCCAGCCAUUCCGCGUGCAGGAUGAAGGCCCUCGGGUUGUAAACUGCUUUUGUACGGAACGAAAAGGUCUCUCUUAAUACGGGGGACUCAUGACGGUACCGUAAGAAUAAGCACCGGCUAACUACGUGCCAGCAGCCGCCGCCGUAA